AGAAAUGGUCUAAAUUUUUUUGCCGGUCGUCGGCGUUGAGCUCCGGUACAAAAAUCUGCAUUUGUUUUGUCGGUCGCCGCCGGCGAGAGUUCGUAAGUACUCGGAAUUCCUUUCGACUGUUUUAUUUCCUGUCUCCCCUAAUUUAGCUGACGGCGAUAAGCAUAUUAUUGUGCCCUAGUUUUUUUUUUUUGCUUUUAAGAAUCCUGAUAUUACUAUUGCUGUGAAAUUCACUCAUGAUACAUCUGAAACAUUUAUGAGAAUAUAGGCAAAUUAAGCAAAUUUGAAGAUAAACAGAUUUUGAGGAAAUGUUGUAAAGAUCACUAUUUGUUUAGUUUUUGCUGCAUAUCCUGUAUUGCAAAAGUUUAAAGUAUAGGUGGAAACUCAGCAAGUGUGUUACAAUGUCGAUGGUGUUCGAUGAAUAUCUGGUAGCCAUUAUGGUUGAAGAUUUAUUUGUCCCUCUACAGUAUAAGGUUGUUUAUUGUUGAAGAUAGGGGUAAGAUUUGCAUAUACUCGAGGAUCUCCACUUGUGGCAAUACACUAGCGAGGUCACUGAAGGAGGAGCCUUCCUAUGCAAAGGUGAAAAAAGGGACUUCAAAUGGAGGUCCUAGGGUUGUAAGAAUAAUACAUGCCAUGAACUUAUGAAAUUAAGAUGGAGUUGAAAACUCAUUUUUCUAUUGCUUGUGUUUGGCCUCUAUCCAGUUGGGAGGAAGAUCGGAUUCAUAAGUUCUUAUCCCGGUCUAUAAUUGUCUAACUGGUCGGGAGAGAGAUCAGAUUCGUGAGUUCCUAUCCUGCUAUAUUGUUAGCGUUGUCUAACUUGUCGAGAGGAAGGCCAGUCAUCCUCGGUAUCUUGAUGUAAUGUAUCACCUGUUUUUGUAUAUUAAUCAAGUAUCAUCAGGAUCGAUUUCAAUUGAUAUCAACACUUUGUGAAUUGUGAUGAGCCAAUAUGCUUUAUCUGUACAUUGUGUUUGAACUGCAAGAUUUAAUUAGUUAAAAUUAUUUCCUU